CAGUCGCCACGGUAAUACGUAGGUGGCAAGCGUUGUCCGGAAUUAUUGGGCGUAAAGGGCUCGCAGGCGGUUUCUUAAGUCUUAUGUGAAAGCCCCCGGCUCAACCGGGGAGGGUCAUUGGAAACUGGGAAACUUGAGUGCAGAAGAGGAGAGUGGAAUUCCACGUGUAGCGGUGAAAUGCGUAGAGAUGUGGAGGAACACCAGUGGCGAAGGCGACUCUCUGGUCUGUAACUGACGCUGAGGAGCGAAAGCGUGGGGAGCAAACAGGAUUAGAUACCCCUGUAGUCCCUGUCUCUUAUAC
rnacentral:rRNA from 1 species